AGGAAUCAAGGUAGGGGCCUUGCUCACUAGAGUGUAGCGAGUGAAAUAGGAAAGCUGCAAUGAUGGUACUGAUGAACAAGAACGGAGAAGGGGGGGCAUCAAGUCGUCAUAUUGGCGAAGCCUAUUGAGUAUGUGCAAUGACAAAAUCUAGUCAUGGGGAGCCAUCGGAGAGGAGGAGCUAAUUAUUCAGGGCCGAGGCAUAACAAAGAAGCUCACAAUAGUCAAGCAAUUAGGUAAUGCUGAUGGAGGAUAGAGGCUUUGGGGGUGGCUUGUUGGUGUCGAACACCAAUGACCUGUGGGUGGCGGCGGCGGAAGGUGGGGGGGUUGUUUAGGUCGGGAGAAAGAUUAGAUUAAACAGUGUAAAAUGGGCUGUUGGAUUGAUCACAUAAUUUAAUGGCCCAAAUUUAGGAAAAGCCCAAUAACUUGGGGUGGAGAAAUGGGCUGUUGGAUCACAUGAAUCGAUGGUUCAAAAUUUAGGAUAUGCCCAAAUAGGCUAUGGUUGGUUCCUUAGGGGAGGUCAGUCGGGAGAAAAGUUUGGAUUUAAUUGGGGUAGGGAAAUAAAUGGGCUAUUUGAUUAGUUGAGUUGACGGUCCAAAAUUCAGGGCUUGCCCAUUUAGACUAUAGCUGGAUCCUGUGGGAGGAUCAUGAUUGAUCAAGAGAAAAUAAGUGAGAUGAAGAUAUGGGCCAUAGGAUCACAUGAACUGACAGCCCAAAGUUUAGGGUUGCCCAAAUAGGUGAUGGCCGAUCCUAUGAGAGAGUCAUCAUUCAUCAAGAAAAAAAGUGUGGUGGAGAAAUAGGCCAUUGGAUUACAUGAAUCGAUGGCCCAAAUAUGCUAUGGUCUGCUCGUGACGGCCAAAAUAAGCAGGGUGGAGAAAUGGGUCGUUAAAUCAAUGAAUUGAUUAUCCUAAAUUUAAUUAGAACAUGACCAACAAAUUGGAUAUAGUCAGAUCCUAACAGGAUGGUCAUGAUCCAUAAGAGAAGAGAAGAGGGGUGGAGAAAUCGGCCGUUGGAUCACAUGAAUUAAUGCCCAAAAAUUUUAAAAUAUGCCCAAAUAGUACUCUAUGGUUGGAUCGAGGGUUGUCGUGAUCAAUUGACAGAAAAUAAGUGAGGUGCAGAGAUGGGUCGUGGGGUACAUGGAAUUAAUGGUAAAAAAUAGGACAUGCCAAAUAGGCUAUGUUGGGAUCCUAAUGGGAUAGUCAUGGUUGGUCGAGAGAACAGAAGUGGGCCGGGGUGAAGAAAUAAUGGGCUGCUGGAUCACAUGAGAGUC
rnacentral:lncRNA from 1 species